rnacentral:rRNA from 1 species
UUCGCAAUGCCCGAAAGGGUGACGAAGCGACGCCGCGUGGGUGAAGAAGGCCUUCGGGUUGUAAAACCCUGUCAGGAGUUAUGAAAUGUAAGUGCGCUAAUAUCGUGCUUAUUUGACAAAGGCUCCAAAGGAAGCCACGGCUAACUCUGUGCCAGCAGCCGCGGUAAUACAGAGGUGGGGAGCGUUGUUCGGAAUUAUUGGGCGUAAAGAGCACGUAGGUGGGUUUGCAAGUCAGAUGUGAAAGCCUUCUGUUCAACGGGAGAAUUGCAUCUGAAACUGCUAAUCUUGAGUAUAGGAGGGGAGAAUGGAACUUCUGGUGGAGCGGUGAAAUGCGUAGAUAUCAGAAGGAACGCCGGCGGCGAAAGCGAUUCUCUGGCCUAUUACUGACACUCAGUGUGCGAAAGCUAGGGGAGCAAACGGGAUUAGAUACCCCGGUAGUCCUAGCCGUAAACGAUGGGCACUAAGUAGA